rnacentral:rRNA from 1 species
GCUUACGGCCAUACCAGCCUGGUUACGCCCGAUCUCGUCUGAUCUCGGAAGCUAAGCAGGGUCGGGCCUGGUUAGUACUUGGAUGGGAGACCGCCUGGGAAUACCAGGUGCUGUAAGCA